UCACAUCUGCUCUGCAGUGCCUGACUAUCAGAGAGCCCUUGUUCUGGCUGCCAGAUUAGUCCCUUUGGGUUAGCUGCUGCAGGAAACAAAGUAGAAUUUUAAGUUAUGAAAAGGCAUGCUUUGGCUCCACUAGUUGAGAAGUUGUAAGGAUGGUUGACAGCUGACAUAUUCUACCUCCCUCGUGUUGAUCUCUCUUGCAGUACUCUCUGGAAAAAAAAACAAAAAGGCAACAUCAAAUAGGAGGAAAAAAAUAAAAACAAGGAGCCCAGUAUGAAACUUAUUUAUGUACUCAAGAUGGAAACGAACCCCAGAAGACUACAAACUCCUUCCUUGUCAUGGGAAUCCAUGGAACCACCACCAACCUGGAACUCUGGAACCAGAGACAAAACAUUCAGAUAGGAAUCUAUCCCGUUCAUCUCCAAAAACGACCUGCUGCUGACCAAAGCUGAGCCGGUCGAAGUCUGAAAAUAGGUACAGAGCCGUCCACCCUGCUCAAGCUUUCCCCUUCCAUAAUAGCCUCAGAAAUUUUCCUGUAAUAUAUCUUUUUGGUCUUUGAAUAUAUGACUGCAUCCUCAACACAAUAAAGCUCAUGUAUUAUCUUAGUGUAAUGGAAAUCCCAUAUCGAGCAUUGUCAAGAAUACCCUAUCAUGUCCCAUCAAGUCCUAAUUGGCUUGGUGAAACUAAAAGUUAAAUACUGAAGGAUAGUGCAGUUGUUGAGCAAAGUCCCUCAUGAUCCUUGUGCUUUUCACUUGUUCUCUAUCUGCUCACCAGAUGUUUCCUACUGAAAUUAAUUUUUAAUGUGAUGUCACAUGCAUAUAAAACUGAAUUUUAAAAAAAUUGCUAACACUAUCAAAACUUCUUUUUAGCUGCUGUUAGUAAGAAUAUUCACUGUUGUCCUAGUAUUGUCCUGUAUUUGUCCAGAUCCAAUGAAUCUCCGUAUUUUUAUGCAAAGUAUUGAGAUACACUAUAUAGUGAAUUAUAUAAAUAUGAAACAUUUGUGAUUUGGUUGGUCUUUUUAAUCCUGAGUGCUGCUUCAGAUUUUAAGAGAAGUUCACUUUCCACAGAUCAGCCAAGAGUAUGGAGAAAAAAAAAUAAAUGACAAAUAUAGUUUAAUGCUAUAGGUCUAUUUUCACUGUCUUCUCCAGAGAAAAUCAAUUCUCCUUCUUAGACAAGAAGAUGUUUAAACAUAGUUCUGGUAAAUUGUAGUGCUCCCCUUGGCCUUUGCUUCUUUCUCUCCUUUUUCUUUACCACCUCCUCCUUCUCUUUCCCUGUUAUUGCCAGUACAGUGGAAAAAUAUUACUGCAGUCUAUGAUAUUGCAAGUCUGUCUAUUCAAGAUAUUUCACCUUUUGAAUUGUUGUGCACAAAAAUAUUUGCACUGCUGUAUGUUCCAAAAAGCAACCAUAGAAAACAAAAUCUGUCAGGUCGGCGAGUCACAGUACUUUUAUUGUACAACAGAACUUGCCAAACUCUCUGAAGCACUUCAGUUGGUGAAAAAAGUGAUUUAUUGAUAGAGAAAAUUGAUCCUUACAAUAUUCUUAAUAUAUGCUCUUGGGCAGUGCAAGUGUCAGCCAGCUACAGAUCUAAUCCAUAGUUACUCAAAGACAGAAUAAGACUAUUAGCUAUUUUAGCCUGCAAGUUUUCUUGUGAAAUUCAGAUUGUUGUUUCCUCUCUUCUAUGGUCCCUUAGCAGUACUUUGUAGAAUCUUAAGUGACUUAUUUCUUUUAACCUCUUCACACCUCUGAGAGGUCUCAUUUAUUGCCACUUAUUUUUUCUAAGAAUAAAAUUAAUAUUCCUUUAAAAAAUUUUAUUUUAUGGAUUGUUUACUUCCCAAAGAACUGAAAAUCAAACAUUGCUUUCAUAAGUAUUGCAGGAUCCAAAGGUUUAUAGCAGAGAUUUUAGGGGAGGUUUCUUUGAGAGAGACAACAAGAAUAGAUCCAUAAAUAAGAAGUUUCAAAAAAGGCAACAGAAUACAUUGAGUAAAGCAAAGUCUCAAAAAGCCUUUAAAAAAUGUCUUGCUCAAUGCAUAAAGAUAUUAAUUAAAAAAGCUUUUGUCAUAUAAAUGUGUGAGAGGUAUCAAGAAAGGAACCUUUAGCUCAAGGUUAACUUUUUGUGUGAGUGGAUCAUCAGAUAACCAAAUUUGUAAGCUAAAGAAUGGUGACAAAAGUACAUAAAAAUAAAAGCCUUGUGAAAAAAAAAGAAAAACUUACCUUCUUCUAGGUGUAAUAUGUGAACAAGAUAAAACUGAUUUUAUUAAUGAA